rnacentral:rRNA from 1 species
CCCUUAGAUGUUCGGGGCCGCACGCGCGCUACACUGAAGGACUCAGCGUGUCUCUCCCCCUAUCCCGAAAGGGAUGGGCAACCCGUUGAACCUCCUUCGUGCUAGGGAUUGGGGUUUGCAAUUAUCCCCCAUGAACGAGGAAUUCCCAGUAAGCGCGAGUCAUCAGCUCGCGUUGAUUACGUCCCUGCCCUUUGUACACACCGCCCGUCGCUACUACCGAUUGGAUGGUUUAGUGAGACCCUCGGAUCGGUCCCGACUCGGGGUGGGCUUCUGCCCCGGUCGUGGUUUCGCCGAGAAGACGGUCAAACUUGACUAUCUAGAGGAAGUAAAGUCGUAACA